AGUGAACGCUGGCGGCAGGCCUAACACAUGCAAGUCGAGCGGCAGCGCGUCCGACCACCCUCGGGUGGUCGGAUGGCGGCGAGCGGCGGACGGGUGAGGAAUGCAUCGGAAUCUGCCUCGUUGUGGGGGAUAACGUAGGGAAACUUACGCUAAUACCGCAUACGACCUACGGGUGAAAGUGGGGGACCUUCGGGCCUCACGCGAUGAGAUGAGCCGAUGCCGGAUUAGCUAGUUGGCGGGGUAAAGGCCCACCAAGGCGACGAUCCGUAGCUGGUCUGAGAGGAUGAUCAGCCACACUGGAACUGAGACACGGUCCAGACUCCUACGGGAGGCAGCAGUGGGGAAUAUUGGACAAUGGGGGCAACCCUGAUCCAGCCAUGCCGCGUGUGUGAAGAAGGCCUUCGGGUUGUAAAGCACUUUUGUUGGGGAAGAAACCGGCCGGGUUAAUACCCUGGUUGAAUGACGGUACCCAAAGAAUAAGCACCGGCUAACUUCGUGCCAGCAGCCGCGGUAAUACGAAGGGUGCAAGCGUUACUCGGAAUUACUGGGCGUAAAGCGUG
rnacentral:rRNA from 1 species